rnacentral:rRNA from 1 species
UACGUAGGGGGCGAGCGUUGUCCGAAUUCACUGGGCGUAAAGCGCGCGUAGGCGGACUUUUAAGUUGUGGGUGAAAUGCCGAGGCUCAACCUCGGAACUGCCUGCAAAACUGGGAGUCUUGAGGUAUGGAGAGGGAAGUGGAAUUCCUGGUGUAGCGGUGAAAUGCGUAGAUAUCAGGAGGAACACCUGUGGCGAAGGCGGCUUCCUGGCCAUAUCCUGACGCUGAGGUGCGAAAGCCAGGGGAGCGAAC